AUUAAAAUUUACAAAAAGGUGAAGUUUUUUAAUGAGCUUACAUGCAAGUCAAGGUUUCCGCCGUCUGUAUAUAAAAAAGGGAUUGGAAUAGGGUCAGCACUGUGAAGUGUCUCCAAUACUAAGCAAACAUGAAAUACAUCAUCGUUAUCUUGAUCGCCUUCGCACUCUUCCACAAUGCGAUAGCUCAAGAAUCUUGUGAUCCCGGUAGUCAAGGACCCGGAUGCGAGUGCAGUCGAGGUGAACCCUUCUGGACCGAAACCGACGCUGGUUGCGAGUUUAGAUGCAAGGACGGAGAUAAUCUCCACGAAUGUGGGGAUACCACGGCGUAGGUGCUAAGACAAGUUUUUCAAGGUGUGCUGCUGGUGUAUUUUAGUGAUUUGGUGUGAAGUCUGUUUAGAAUAAAGGGUACCUUACAUUGA